CUACAAAGAAAAUUGGCACAUCGAAAAAGAAGAUAGAGGUUCUUUGAUCGAAAAUUCUUCGAUACUUAAGUUAGCAGCAAUUGAAGAAGAAGAACAGUCAAGAAAGAUGAUGAAAAAGUGUAGCGUUCAAAGAUCAAAGAAAAAAUCUCAUAUUCUUCUCUUCAUUUUUCUUUUUAUAGGAGAGAGUCUACCAGGUGGUUAGCAC
rnacentral:lncRNA from 1 species